GGAUAGAUAAACUACCUGGUAAAGGGUUUGAACAUAAACAAAGUGUUAUAAUUUUAUUAAAAGAAAAAUGUUGGGGUUUGAAAAAAUGGACCAUCAUUCCUCAUUGGAACACAUAACUCAUUACAAGAAAAAAGAAAAAAAGAAAAAAAAAAAAGAAAAACCAGCAUGGUUUGACAUCAUGUGGGGUCAUGAACAAAUCUGUCUCAUGCUUUGAAAAGUACACUCAGCAAAAUUUUAAAAGUAAAAGUUUUUAGACAAAUGUGAUAAGGAACCAUCAUUUCCAGUCUCAAUAGGUGAUCGUUUGUAAUUUUCAUAAAAGCAGUUCGUUUGCAGUAUGGCUUUUGUGUAGCUAGGGGUUUUUUAGUGUGAAGAAAGGUAUGUGGGCUUUAAAAGUGAUUUUAAAUCUUGAAUAGAAAAAUCACAUAAAUUGGCUUUAAUAAAAAUGUCACCUUUUAUUAUUGACAUUAAUUUAAGUAAUCAUACCAUAUAUUUUUAAAAUACAUGUCUGACUUGAAUUGUGAGGCAAUAAGAUAUGUGAUGAUCACAGAACCAACCCUUAUAGUUUUACUUAUUUUGUUUACUCUAAAAAUCUAUAGCAGAGUUUCUCUAUUUUGUAUUUCAUAGAUUUAAAGAAAUCCCAAAUAAAGAUGGAUUUUAGAUUCACUGUGGACAAGAAUAUUGAAUAAGAAAGUUUAAAAAGCAAGCUAAUCCUUAAUAAUCUGGAAUAGUCUACACGGCUUUAGAAUAUACUAAGAUGUGGGACUGUCUUUAACAUCGUUGUCAGCCCAAGGCAGAGUACACACAUUAGGUAUUGUUU
rnacentral:lncRNA from 1 species